GGUACGCUACGCCGGCUAUACUGCAGUCGAACGGUGUCUUCGGACAUAGUGGCGCACGGGUUGCGUAACACGUAUGCAACCUACCUUACAUUGGGGGAUAGCCUUUCGAAAGGGAGAUUAAUACCGCAUAAGACAGUAGCUGGGCAUCCAGCAGCUGUUAAAGAUUUAUCGAUGUAAGCUGGGCAUGCGUCCAAUUAGCUAGUUGGUGAGGUAACGGCUCACCAAGGCAAUGAUUGGUAGGGGAACUGAGAGGUCAAUCCCCCACACUGGCACUGAGAUACGGGCCAGACUCCUACGGGAGGCAGCAGUAGGGAAUAUUGGGCAAUGGACGCAAGUCUGACCCAGCCAUGCCGCGUGCAGGAUGAAGGCGUUAUGCGUUGUAAACUGCUUUUAUACAGGAAGAAACGACUCUUGCGAGAGGCAUUGACGGUACUGUAUGAAUAAGCACCGGCUAACUCCGUGCCAGCAG
rnacentral:rRNA from 1 species